rnacentral:rRNA from 1 species
AUUGAACGCUGGCGGCAGGCCUAACACAUGCAAGUCGAGCGGAUGAAGGGAGCUUGCUCCUGGAUUCAGCGGCGGACGGGUGAGUAAUGCCUAGGAAUCUGCCUGGUAGUGGGGGAUAACGUCCGGAAACGGGCGCUAAUACCGCAUACGUCCUGAGGGAGAAAGUGGGGGAUCUUCGGACCUCACGCUAUCAGAUGAGCCUAGGUCGGAUUAGCUAGUUGGUGGGGUAAAGGCCUACCAAGGCGACGAUCCGUAACUGGUCUGAGAGGAUGAACAGUCACACUGGAACUGAGACACGGUCCAGACUCCUACGGGAGGCAGCAGUGGGGAAUAUUGGACAAUGGGCGAAAGCCUGAUCCAGCCAUGCCGCGUGUGUGAAGAAAGUCUUCGGAUUGUAAAGCACUUUAAGUUGGGAGGAAGGGCAGUAAGUUAAUACCUUGCUGUUUUGACGUUACCAACAGAAUAAGCACCGGCUAACUUCGUG